UGCCAUAUCACGUUGAGAUACCUGUUCUUGUAAGAUCACCGAAGUUAAGCAACGUCGUACCUGGUCAGUACCUACAUGAGUGACCGCUUUGAAAUAUCAGGUGCUGUAA